CUCUCUCCACUAGGCCAUUCAACACUAUCUACUUUUGAGAUACUAUCCUAAAUAUAUGAACUGGAAUAAAAAUUUAAAGUAAAAAACAAAAUAAAUAAUUUCAUGGUUUUUAUAUUAUCUCUGUAAAAUAAAAUAAAAUAAGAAAAGAAAUUAAUUAAAAAAGCAAGAAAACAGAAAAAAAGAAAACACAGUAAGGAAAAAAAACCUCUCGUCGUCCUCAACCCAGAAUCUCUCUUCCUCAAAGCUCUCUCCAAUGAAAUCUCCCUCUGCUCUCAAAAUCGCUCGCACCUAUCUCUCAAACCUCUCUCUCGCGUACCCUUCGCUUACCCAACACUCAACAACGUUAAGCAACAAAAGCGUAAAUCUACGGUUUCACAAAGACAUCAAGCAGAAAUCUCACCUUCGAUGACGACGAUGACCAGGUGCUUAAACCUUCC
rnacentral:lncRNA from 1 species